rnacentral:rRNA from 1 species
AGUGGCGAACGGCUGAGUAACGCGUAAGUAACCUGCCUUGGAGCGGGAAAUAACUUGCUGAAAGGCGAGCUAAUGUCCCAUGUGGUAAUGAAGCGUAGGCUUCAUUAUUAAAGCUUUCGGGCGCUCCGAGAGGGGCUUGCGUCUGAUUAGCUAGUUGGCAGGGUAAUGGCCUACCAAGGCGAUGAUCAGUAGCUGGUCUGAGAGGAUGGCCAGCCAGAUGGGGACUGAGACACGGCCCCAACUCCUACGGGAGGCAGCAGCAAGGAAUCUUGGGCAAUGGGCGAAAGCCUGACCCAGCGACACCGCGUGAGGGAAGAAGGCCUUCGGGUUGUAAACCUCUUUUCCUGGGGAAGAAUCCUGACGGUACCCGGGGAAUAAGCCUCGGCCAACUACGUGCCAGCAGCCGCGGUAAUACGUAGGAGGCGAACGUUAUUCGGAUUUACUGGGCGUAAAGUGAGCGUAGGCGGUUCCUUAAGUCAGAUGUGAAAUCUUCUGGCUCAAUCAGAAGGAGUCAUUUGAUACUGAGGUGCUUGAGAGCAACAGAGGGAAAUGGAAUCCCCAGUGUAGCGGUGAAAUGCGUAGAUAUUGGGGAGAACACCAGUGGCGAAGACGAUUUCCCAGGUUGUUUCUGACGCUGAGGCUCGAAAGCGUGGGGAGCGAAGCGGAUUAGAUACCCGCGUAGUCCACGCCCUAAACGGUGGACACUAGAUAUAGGAGGUAUCGACCCCUUCUGUGUCGAAGCUAACGCUUUAAGUGUCCCGCCUGGGGAUUACGGCCGCAAGGCUGAAACUCAAAU